rnacentral:rRNA from 1 species
CCUACGGGGUGCAGCAGUGGGGAAUAUUGCGCAAUGGGCGAAAGCCUGACGCAGCGACGCCGCGUGAGGGGUGAAGGUCUUCGGAUCGUAAACCUCUGUCAGCAGGGAAGAACGGUCACUGUGCUAAUCAGCAGUGAAUUGACGGUACCUGCAAAGGAAGCACCGGCUAACUCCGUUCCAGCAGCCGCUGUAAUACGGAGUGUGCGAGCGUUACUCGGAAUUACUUGGCGAAAAGCGCUCGUAGGCGGUAUGUCAAGUCAAGGGUGAAAUCCCCGCGCUAAACGUGGGAACUGCCUUUGAAACUGGCAACCUGGAGGGUGUGAGAGGUGAGUGGAAUUCCAGGUGUAGGAGUGAAAUCCGUAGAUAUCUGGAGGAACAUCAGUGGCGAGGCGACUAUCUGGCACAUAACUGACGCUGAGGAGCGAAAGCGUGGGUAGCAAACAGGAUUAGAUACCCCAGUAGUC